rnacentral:sRNA from 1 species
CCCCUUAUGUCUUGGGCUACACACGUGCUACAAUGGUCGGUACAAACAGUUGCGAUCUCGUAAGAGGGAGCUAAUCUGAAAAAGCCGAUCUCAGUUCGGAUUGAGGGCUGCAACUCGCCCUCAUGAAGCCGGAAUCGCUAGUAAUCGCGAAUCAGCAAUGUCGCGGUGAAUACGUUCUCGGGUCUUGUACACACCGCCCGUCACACCAUGAGAGUUGAUAAUACCAGAAGUCGGUAUUCUAACCGCAAGGAGGAAGCCGCCCAAGGUAGGAUUGAUGAUUAGGGUGAAGUCGUAACAAGGUAUCCGUACGAGAACGUGCGGAUGGAUCACCUCCUUUCUAUGGAGUUAAUACUUUAUAGUAAUUAACUAGUUUUAAUGACCGUUAUGUUUAGUUUUCAGAGAUUAGUUUCUCUGACAAUAACAAGUAAAUGUUAUUGGAAUUGUUCUUUGAAAACUGGAUAAUAGACAUCUAGUUAUUUUAAUCACAUGAUUAAAAUAACAAUAAUUCAAAAUUUCUGUUAUUUUUAAAAAAUAACUAAAAUUUCACAGUUAUAUUUGUAAAUGAUUCUCAAAAAACUGAUUUAAAAUCAGGUCAAAUAAUUUAUAAAACUUUGAAGUUACAAAGGGCGUAUGGUGAAUGCCUUGGGAAUAGGAGACGAUGAAGGACGUGACUACCUGCGAUAAGGUUCGGGGAGCUGGAAGUAAGCUUUGAUCCGGACAUGUCCGAAUGGGGAAACCCGGUGAGAUUAAUCUCUCAUCAUCCUAUAAUGAAUAAAUAGUUAUAGUGAAGGUAUACCUAGGGAAUUGAAACAUCUUAGUACCUAGAGGAAAAGAAAGCGAAUGCGAUUCUCUUAGUAGCGGCGAGCGAACGGGGAACAGCCCAAACCAGAUUUAUCUGGGGUUGUAGGACCAUAAUAGUAGAGUUACAAAACUUGUUUAUAGUAGAAAUGGUUGGGAAACCAUGCCGUAGAGGGUGAUAGCCCCGUAUACGAAAUAGACAAGACUCGAAAUGGAAUCCUGAGUACGGCGAGACACGUGAAAUCUUGUCGGAAUCAACGCGGACCACCGCGUAAGGCUAAAUACUACCUAUUCACCGAUAGUGAACCAGUACCGUGAGGGAAAGGUGAAAAGCACCCCGGGAGGGGAGUGAAAUAGUACCUGAAACCAUAUGCCUACAAGAAGUCGGAGCCCGUUAAUGGGUGACGGCGUGCCUUUUGUAGAAUGAGCCGGCGAGUUAUGAUAGCAUGCAAGGUUAAGUAGAAAAUACGGAGCCGUAGUGAAAGCGAGCCUUAAUAGGGCGUUUAGUAUGUUGUCAUAGACCCGAAACCAGGUGAUCUAGCCAUGAGCAGGUUGAAGUUGAGGUAAAACUUAAUGGAGGACCGAACCGACGUUCGUUGAAAAGACCGCGGAUGACUUGUGGCUAGGGGUGAAAUUCCAAUCGAACCUGGAGAUAG